GAGAGACCCCCUGCCCCUUCUACCACAUGAGGACACAGCAAGAUGUUGGCAAUCUGCAACCCGGAAGAACCAGAGCAUGACCACGAUCUCAGACUUCCAGCCUCCAGAACUGUGCACAGACAAGGAAGAGACCAUGAUGACCCCAGCAACAGAAAUAUGCAAAGAUGAGAGUGAAGGUUAGACACGUGGGAUGAAGCUGUGUAGGAGGCAAGUGGGUCCCUGAAAGCGAUCGUCAUACCUCUAGUGACUUCAGACGAAUCAUCCAUCCCAGGCUUGGGCCAUGUGUCUUCGCAGGAUCUCCCAUUCAAGUGGGCAGUGUAUACUUCCUUGCCCCCCUAAUGUCGGGCUUGGCCAUGUACAUUGAUUUGGCCAACAGAAGGUUGGUGGGUGUGAUGUGAGCAGAGGCUUUAAAUGUGCUUCUGUGACCUGGCUGGACCUCAUCUCUUCUUCCAUCUGCCAUGAGAAAAAUAUGCCUGUGGGAGCCACUAAGUCAAGGAGAAUGAGAAGUCACAGGAAAGACCCUGAACCCCAUCUACAGCCCGAAUCGAAGCCCUGCUGAGCUCAGCUGAGCUCAGCUGCAAUCAGCCAAAGCCGGCCAAACCAUGACCCAUCGGUGAGGAAAAUAAAUGUUUAUUUUUGGCAAGCCACUGAGAUGCUAGGGCUGUUAGGACAGAAGGGAAAACUGACAAAUACAGAGGAGGAGGAAGUGCAUUCAGAUUUGCAGUAGUCUCCCAACCGGUCUUCUGGUUCUACCCCGGCUCCCCGACACCCUAUUCUCCACUAGCAGCUAGAGCGAUCCUUCCAAAACCCUCAUUAAUCAAGGCAUUCCUUUGCUCAAACCCUCCAAUGGCUCCCAUAUCACUCAGAGCGAAAGUGAAUGUCCUUGUCAUGGGCCACCAUCCACACAUGCUCUGUCCACCUCCCCCCGCUUUAACCCUCAGUCUCGACCUCCUUCCACUCUCCCACGUGCUCACUGUGCUCCAGCCACAUGGCCUCCCUGCUGCUCCUGGGCCACACCAGGGUACACCCUCCCUUGAGCCUUUUCUUGCUUUCCUCUUCCUAGAAAACACUUCCUUCAGAUAUCCAAGUGGCUAACAUCUUCGGCUCUUGUCUUAAAGCUGUGGAAUGAAUGGCAUGGGCUGCUCUGAAAAGACUCAACACACACACACACACACACACACACACACACACACACACACACACACACACGCUCAGUUAACCAUAAUACAGUGUUAGUACAAAAAAUAGAUGUAAAAUACCAUGGAACUGAAAAAUGGAGGGCAAUUAUUUCUUAGGUUGGGCGUGAGUUGCUGGUAAGGGAAAACUGCACUGAGAAGUUAAUACUUGAGUGGGGUCUUGAAGGGGUUUCUUAAAUGGACCAAACGGGGGAUAUCAUCCAAGCAGGGCACGACACAGGCAGCUGCUGUGUGCUCUCCAAAACUGCCGAUAAUUCUAGCCUUGAUGGCGUGCCCAGCCACUGUUCUACGUGCUUUAUAUGCAUUAUCUCAUCUAAUCCUCACAGUGGCUCUGUAGAGUAGGCACUGCUAUGCCAUUCACAGAUGUGGUAACUAAGGCACAGGGUGGUGAAAUAACCCGCCCAAGGUCACACUGGUAUUGACACUGGCUAGCAGAGCCAGGCUUCUGGCUCCAAAGCCCAUGCUCUUCACCCCGGCGUAUGCCCAUCCCAGUGCUCUGGGAAGGCUGGGUCCCAGUAUACACAGGGAAGAGGAGGAAUCGCAGCCAAGUCUGCUGGGAGCACUGCUCUGGCUUGGUCAAGGGCUCCGCAAGGGCCAUUUAGGGAGCGUGAAGCUUGCUUUUUGGUCGUGAGAAAAGCCUUUGUGGGUUUUUAAGCUGGAAAGGGCUGUGAUGAGAACUGUGUCCUGACGGUGACUCUGGAAUUGAUGUGUAGGCUAGAAUGGAGGUGAAACGGGCUGAAGGUUUCCAUGGUGAGGAGGAGGAGGAAGAGAGAGGGCGAGACCCAGGGCCUGAGGGCCUCUGGCUCAUCUCAAUGCCUGGUAUACAACAGGCGUCCAAUAAUGUUUGGUAAAUAAACGUCUCAUUGUUGUCUUAGUUGGCUUGCCCCGGAAGCAGACUUUGAAAUAAGGGUUCCACUAUGUGAGGUUUAUUUAGGAGGCUACAUGGGGUGGGGGGGGACAUCUGGAGCUCAGUCCUGCGGGGCAGCUGUGGGGGACAGUGCAAAACACACCCUCAGAAUCAUCCCGGGAGGAAAGCGAGGGAGUUGGGUGUUCACAGGCCGAUUCGGUUAGUAGUUGAGGAUUCCUGCUGGCGAGUGUUAAUUUCCUGGCACCAGGGCAGUAGAAGCGUGUCACUUGGGGAAGGAGAGGGAGGCACAGGGGUGUGGCUGGACACCCCUGGGGUGCACUGACCAUCAGGUGCGUACAGAUGGGGGUGAAUAGGGUCUGCUAUAAAAUCAAUCUUGGGCCAAAGAAGGGAAGAGUAGGAACUGAAUUGUGAAACUUAUCCCCCCGUGGGCGUCCCACAGGCAUGUCCAACACGGACACUGUCAUCUCCCUCCAACCCAAACUUGCUCUUGCCCAUGUGGUCCCCUUCUCAGGGAGUGACCCUCUUCCAUGCUUUCCUCCUUUUCACUUGACACUCGCCAUGUGCAAUCAAUCGCUAUUGUGCUGCUAGCACUGCCUCUUAAAUACGUCUGCAAACUGCUCUCUUCUCCUAACUCCACUGCUACACCAUAGUUCAGGCUACCAAGCUCUCCCGUGAAUUACUGAAAUGGGCUCCCCACUGGCCUUUCUCGACCCCAGUCUUGAUCCUCACCCUCCACUCAGCUCUUAAAUCCAGCCUCCAUAUUCCAGGUGGACUGAUCUCCCUAUAAUACAAGGCUAAUUAUGUUCUUUCCCUGCUGACAAUUCUUUAAUAGCUCUCUACUGCCCUAAGAAAAUCAUCAAAACUUCCUCCUACCUGUGAAGCUCUAUGUCACUUGUCCUUUGUCCCUCCAGUCAUGAUGAAUUUCGUUCGGCUCCUGAACAUACCCUGCUCUCUCUUACCUCUGAGCCUUUGCUAAUGUUGUUCCCUCUAUCCGGAACAAUUUUCCCUUCUCCUCUACUUCAUUAACUCCUAUUCAGCCUUCAGGUCUCAGCUGAGAGGGCAUCUCUUCUAAGAAGCCUGUCUGACCCUCUUUUCUACAUACAUGAUCCCCUGAAAUUAUUUUAUUAUAUUGCAAUUUCCUAUUGACUUGCCUCUUUCAAGAGAGUUGAGGACCCGCUGAAAGGUCUCUCUAGAUCAGGCUCAGCAAAUGUUUUCUAUAAAGAGCCAGAUGAUAAUUACUUUGGGCUUUGCAGACUCUAUGCUGCCUGUCACAGCUACUCAAUUCUACUGCUAUAGCAUGAAAGCAGCCAUAAACAAUACACAAAUGAAUGGGCAUGACUGUGCUCCAAUAAAGCUUUAUUUACAAAAACAGGCAUUGAGCCAGAUUUGGCCCAUGGGGCCACAGUUUGCCAACCUCUACUCUACGUUGUCACUGUAUCCCUGGGCCUAGAACGGUGCCUUACACAUCAGAGGGCUCAAAUAUUUCUUGACUGAAGAAGGAACGGUUGAAUGAAAGUGAGCUCGGUGCUUUGUGACCACCUAGAGGGGUGGGAUAGGGAGGGUGGGAGGGAGAGAGACGCAAGAAGGAAGAGAUAUGGGAACAUAUGUAUAACUGAUUCACUUUGUUGUAAAGCAGAAACUAAUACACCAUUGUAAAGCAAUUAUACUCCAAUAAAGAUGUUAAAAAAAGUUUAAAAAAUAACUAAGGAAAAAAAAAAGAAAGUGAAUGAAUAAAUAGUACAUUUCAAAGGACAAGCUAACCUAGUUUGAAAAACUUCUUUCCAGUAAUAUACUCAUGUUUAUACUCAUGUUUUAGGACUGUCUUUUCUGGUUCCCUCAUGUCUAAACACUUGCCUGGAAAUAAUAACCAAAUGUAUUGAGUGCCAGUCAUUUAAACACUUUAUAAUGAUUAAUCUAUUUUAUCCUCAAAAUAACCCUAUAAACUACGAACUAUUACCUUCAAUUUACAUAGGAGGAAACCUCAGAGAGGUUCCUCAAAGAUGGGGCCCUGUCUUGCCUUUGGCAGACCCCUCUUUCCCUAGAGACCCUCGCUCGGUGCCUGUAAUCUAGCCCCUUGGUUGGCCUGAGUGUUUGUGGUUCACCUGAAUCCAGGUAUCUCUUUGGCUGGCUCUGCCCAUGUGCCAUGCACCCAGCCUGGGGUUGGACAUCCCUAAUUCUGAUCACCUGCCUGCCCGACCCUCUAAUUCCCUCGCUCACCAUCUACAGUCUGAUGCUGCUUCCCUAUUUCCUAAGGGUUCAUCUCUGCUCUGGGCCCCACUGACCCUUUGAGCUCCAUUCUAUCACUUUUUCCCUCUCUCACCUUUUUUCUGCCCUCCAAGGAAGUUCUAAUACCAGCAUGACAUGUUUCAAAGGCCAAUGCACAACGGAUUGUAUCUAGAACUUGAAAAGUGUGAGAAAAAUCCAAGUGAUGAGCAAUGCUCUGAUAGAAGCAGUAGCAAGCUCAGUGGUCUUCCUACGGAGAUUCGGCCAAUUACCGAAAACAUUUUCUUCGGCUGAAAAGCUCACCAUUGAAUCAGACUUGGGGAAGAACACGCUGUAAUGUUAAACCCCAAAGGGCCACUCUUUGCUCCGCGGCUGGCCCUGAUUUCAUCUGUAAUUCCUCGAUGGUUAUCUGAAGUAUGUUCCCCGUGAGGAUUUAAGGGCUCCCAACAAAAGCAGAUCCCUCGUGGAGAAGCUGGAGGAAGGAGUACUUUGAGUCUGAAUUUGUCUUUUCCAGACAUGGGUCUCUGCCUUUCACCCUGAACUCAGCAGCCCCCCCGGCAGCUCACAGCUCUGGUCUGAAUCUGACUUAUGAGGCGAUGGGUAUCUCCAUGGCGGGGUGUGCAGCUCGGAUGUUAAUUGCUCAUUAGCCAUCUGUGCGUGCUGCACCUCGGCUGAGACAAGAGAAAGAAUGUGAGCCGCUGAUACCUGGGAGUCCAGCUACCGACACACGUGGAAACCAUCCAGGGAGACCUCAGGUUCAAUCUGCAGCUUGGCCACAUAUUUAUUUCUCACUAAAAAAACAUCUGGCUUUCAUUUUUUGGUGACAACUCGUUUGGACAAGACCUCAAGUAGGUUAAAAAAAAUUAGACUUUCCACCCUUCCCCCAGCCUUGGGGAACUAAACUUUGUUUAAGCUCUUUCAUGAGCCAAGGGUGUGAAUAAGGAAUUGGUGUGGGGACCGAAAGCUGGGGUGUAAACAAGGAGUUAUUUGUUUCUUCUUCUUAAAAGAUGAUGAGUCUGAGGAUUUCACACAAUCCCCACCUGGAUGCAGGGCAGAGUUCCUGGGGAGAAUAUAUAACAAAUUACAUGAAGUUGCCAGUAGUCCACAGCCAAAGUGCUUGGCAAUCUCAGGGCCCAACCCCAUGGCUGAGGCAUUUGGGACCGCAGGGUAGGAUGACUGGGUUUGGGGAUUGUGUUUGAGUUGUGCAGUGACCCAGGACACAUGACACAUUGCCUCAAACAUUGCAGGUUCCAUGAAGAGCUGGUAGUCCUGGCUGCUACAGCCUGGGGUACCUGGGGGUCCCCACCACAAUAUAAGCUCCGUGAGGUCAGGGGCAUUAUCUCUUUUGUACUUUACUGCAUCCUCGACACCUAGCAGAGUAUCUGCUUUUAGUAGGUACUCACAAGUGUUUGUUGAAUGAAAGAACAAAUGACACAAUACACAGAUUCUACUGGGAUUUCAGUCCCUAUACCUACAGCCACAUCUCUUCCAAACUACAACAAGAGUAUUUCCUACAAUACUGAAAGAUAGGAGGUUACCAGCCAUAUAUAUGGUAAAGAAGGUUCCUUGAGACAAAAAGACAAGGGCCCUUACUGACUGGAAUCUCCAGAGCAGAGAUGGAAUGGGAGCCCUGUUUCCUGGCUCUCCCGCUGGAGUAUUUCUUUUCUUUUUUAAAAAAAAUAUUUAUUUAUUUAUUCAUUCAUUCAUUCAUUCAUUCAUUUAUGGCUGCAUUGGGCCUUCGUUGCUGCACACAGGCUUUCUCUAGUUGUGGCGAGCGGGGGCUACUCGGGGGCUACUCUUCAUUGUGGUGUGCGGGCUUCUCAUUGCGGUGGCUUCUCUUUGUUGUGGAGCAUGGGCUCUAGGCGCAUGGCCUUCAGUAGUUGUGGCAUGCGGGCUCAGUAGUUGUGGCUCGCGGGCUCUGGAGCGCAGGCUCAGUAGUUGUAGCGCAUGGGUCCAGCUGCUCCAUAGCAUAUGGGGUCUUCCCGGACCAGGGAUCGAACCCGUGCCCCUUGCAUUGGCAGGUGGGCUCUUAACCACUGCGCCACCAGGGAAGUCCCAGCUGGAGCAUUUCUGAGGAAGAAAUGGGUGAGGUUUCAUAGGAACUGAGGCGUUGGCAUCACACAUCCAAACCCGAAGUUUAAUUCAGGGCCUACCAUGUGCAGAACGUAGUGCUAAGUGCUUUCGAGAUUUCAAGGAAGAGGGAAGAAUGGUGUUUGCUCUUGGACUCUCAGAGAUCUUCCCAUAGGCCAUGUUCUUUUCUACCACAGACCAUUUGCACAUGCAGCUUGCUCAUCUGCAUGUGUGCCCUUCAUGCUGCCUACACUCUUUUGAGUAGCUUCAGAUUUUGCUCAAUCAUGACUAUGUCAGGAAAGCCUUCGCUGACCACCAGCACCACCAGGCUAGGUCAGAUCCCCCCACUACGCCUUUAUGCAACUGUGUACUCCUACAUGCCAGUACUUAUUACAACUGCAGUUUUCCAUUGAUUUUUUUGGUGAUUUUGCUUAACAGCUCUCUUCUACUACCUGCACUGUCUAAUGCAGUGUCCACUAGCCACAUGUGGCUAUUUACAUUAAAAUUAAUUAAAAUUAAGCAAAAUUUAAAAUUCAGGAAU